AGAACGAACGCUGGCGGCAGGCUUAACACAUGCAAGUCGAGCGCCGUAGCAAUACGGAGCGGCAGACGGGUGAGUAACGCGUGGGAACAUACCCUUCGGUUCGGAAUAAUUCAGGGAAACUUGGACUAAUACCGGAUACGGACGAGAGUCGAAAGAUUUAUCGCCGAAGGAUUGGCCCGCGUUCGAUUAGCUAGUUGGUGUGGUAACGGCGCACCAAGGCGACGAUCGAUAGCUGGUCUGAGAGGAUGAUCAGCCACAUUGGGACUGAGACACGGCCCAAACUCCUACGGGAGGCAGCAGUGGGGAAUAUUGGACAAUGGGCGCAAGCCUGAUCCAGCCAUGCCGCGUGAGUGAUGACGGCCUUAGGGUUGUAAAGCUCUUUCGCUAGGGACGAUAAUGACGGUACCUAGACAAGAGCCCGGCUAACUUCGUGCCAGCAGCCGC
rnacentral:rRNA from 1 species